AACGCAUGCGCACGAGGACACCCUGCGGACGCACGCUCGCAAAUCUCACUCACACGCGAGCGCAAUUAACGCUGAUACAAAUCAAAUGCCCAUUUUUUUUGUUGGAGCGCAGAGCAAUUUUUCCAAAAAAAAAAAAAAAAAUCCGCAAAAUGAUCCGCAGUAAUUUAUAGCGUGUUUUUCACCGAGGGGAGCGAUACUGGGUUCUAGGCUGUAAACGUUGCUCUGCCAUGUUUAUUUUCAUUUCAUUCUGUUCUGCCUCUAGAACACUUUACCUUGGUGAUUUAGGGAGGCUCACGGUGGUUUUGGAAAACAACCAGCUGGCAGCGUUUGCGUGUGUGAAGUCAGCAUUAAGCUACUGAAUCCUUCCUUCCUGACGCUGUUCUGCGCUGCGCUGGGAAAAAGUGAAUCAAAUGAAAAGACCCAAACCAAGUAGUCUCCUGACGCUGCCUGACUUCUGCAGCCUGGCUGUGGCUCUCAGCCCCCCCGCCAAGACAUAACAGAGUUGAAUGGAUUCUAGACAACAUGGCCGCUGACGGAGCCGCAGCCAAAGCCCCCGGUGUGAGGGAGUUGGUCUUGGUUCAGCAGAGACAGUUCAAGUGGAGGCAGGAAGUUGGCCAACAGGCCUACGGAGCGGGAGAGGACACCAGAGGAAACUUCUGCUCCAACGUCAACAGGAGGUCAUGCUUCAGGAAAAGCGCUGCUACCUAUCCAUCUUUAAUUAAUAGACUGUAUUCAGCUGGGCACCAUCUGAGCGCGAAAACACGGGCAACUUGGAAAAAAACAGGAAGUGUUCCCGUCUCCUGCACAGAUUCUCGUGUUAUGACACUUGAGGAAUAUAGAAAUGGCUCAUUUAUGCUUUUGAGGGACGGUCCAAGAGUCUGUCAAGCUGCUUAUUUUCAAACAUUGUUUUUUUGUGAAGCCAAUCGUGAGCCUUCCCUUCAGUUUCCCGUCCAGUCAGUCGUCGGGGAGCGUGCGCGGCGCGGAGCAGGGUGAAGGCUAAAUAACCUGGGGCCGGCCGUCACAAGGAAUAAAGGAAGCUGAAAUAAUUCCACAUGCGCAUACAUGCUGUAUUAAAAAUAUGGCUGCUGAAGCGGCAGGUUUUUUUUUUU